GAUGAACGCUGGCGGCGUGCCUAAUACAUGCAAGUCGAGCGAACAGAUGAGGAGCUUGCUCCUCUGACGUUAGCGGCGGACGGGUGAGUAACACGUGGAUAACCUACCUAUAAGACUGGGAUAACUUCGGGAAACCGGAGCUAAUACCGGAUAAUAUAUUGAACCGCAUGGUUCAAUAGUGAAAGACGGUUUUGCUGUCACUUAUAGAUGGAUCCGCGCCGCAUUAGCUAGUUGGUAAGGUAACGGCUUACCAAGGCAACGAUGCGUAGCCGACCUGAGAGGGUGAUCGGCCACACUGGAACUGAGACACGGUCCAGACUCCUACGGGAGGCAGCAGUAGGGAAUCUUCCGCAAUGGGCGGAAGCCUGACGGAGCAACGCCGCGUGAGUGAUGAAGGUCUUCGGAUCGUAAAACUCUGUUAUUAGGGAAGAACAAUUGUGUAAGUAACUAUGCACGUCUUGACGGUACCUAAUCAGAAAGCCACGGCUAACUACGUG
rnacentral:rRNA from 1 species